AUCGAACGCUGGCGGCAGGUUUAAUACAUGCAAGUCGAACGUGUGGCGGACGGGUGAGUAAUGCUUGGGAAUCUGGCUUAUGGAGGGGGAUAACGACGGGAAACUGUCGCUAAUACCGCGUACCAUAGGAUGAGCCCAAGUGGGAUUAGGUAGUUGGUGGGGUAAUGGCCUACCAAGCCGACGAUCUCGAGCUGGUCUGAGAGGAUGACCAGCCACACCGGGACUGAGGCACGGCCCGGACUCCUACGGGAGGCAGCAGUGGGGAAUAUUGGGGAAUGGGGGCAACCUGACUAAGCGAUGCCGCGUGAAGGAGGAAGGCCUUCGGGUUGUAAAGUUCUUUCGGUGACGAGGCGUUGAUCACAGAGGAAGCACCGGCUAACUCCGUGCCAGCAGCCGCGGUAAUUC
rnacentral:rRNA from 1 species